rnacentral:rRNA from 1 species
GAAGAAAGAGGGAGGCGUGCUUAACACAUGCAAGUCGAACGGAAAGGCCCUGCUUUUGUGGGGUGCUCGAGUGGCGAACGGGUGAGUAACACGUGAGUAACCUGCCCUUGACUUUGGGAUAACUUCAGGAAACUGGGGCUAAUACCGGAUAGGAGCUCCUGCUGCAUGGUGGGGGUUGGAAAGUUUCGGCGGUUGGGGAUGGACUCGCGGCUUAUCAGCUUGUUGGUGGGGUAGUGGCUUACAAAGGCUUUGACGGGUAGCCGGCCUGAGAGGGUGACCGGCCACAUUGGGACUGAGAUACGGCCCAGACUCCUACGGGAGGCAGCAGUGGGGAAUAUUGCACAAUGGGCGGAAGCCUGAUGCAGCAACGCCGCGUGCGGGAUGACGGCCUUCGGGUUGUAAACCGCUUUCGCCUGUGACGAAGCGUGAGUGACGGUAAUGGGUAAAGAAGCACCGGCUAACUACGUG